AAAAAAUCAAAUAUUAUAAGGACAAAUUUAUCUUUUUAUCAUAAUAUAAAUCAUAUCAUUUUGUUAUGUGUAUCAAAUCUUGAAUAUGACAAGCUAAUCUUAACAACUCUGUUAUCACGUGCACAUCAAACACAUGACAUGAUAAUUCCUUAUCAUUUUCAUAUCAUAUAUUGUCUCUAUACUCCUUAUCCUAUCCUAUCUCUAUCCUAUCAUGUCCAUCAAACAGACCCUUGUUGUUUUUGGGUGAGAAGUCCAUAUGCUUAUUUAUUUUUUACAACUAUGAGUGUAUGUGUUUAUGCUCUAUGUGGGAUUAAAUUGGUAAUGCAAUUUUCGUCCAUAGGAUGAUUUUUUUUAAAAAUAAAAUAAAGAACUCGGAAAAAAAGGGGGAUUUACAAAUAUUCUUUAUAAUAUUUGCAUUUAUUCCCAUUUUUUGUUAAUACUAGCUAGUGUUUAAUAUGAAUUUUGGUUUAAAAUUAAACUUUAUUGGAUGAUUGUUUUGACAAUAAAUGUAGCACCAAUCAAUCUGGAGGUUUGACUGAGAUAAAUGAAGCAUUUGACAGAAUCUUUGGAUUUGUCUCUGGUGUUAUAUUCGUUUUAUCACAAUUAUAAUAAAAAAGAAUAACACCCAAUGUUUUCUCCCAUUGCUUGAAAGGAGAUAGUAAUGGAGGAGUACUUUUAGUUUUUGGUGAUAUUUUGGAGUAAAAUAUUGUUUAUAUAGUCUAAUAGUUUCAUUGCAGUAUAUUCUUUUCCACAUUGCUUUUUAUUUUAUUUUAUUUCUUGAGCUUGUUGUUCUUUUCUCCCCCUUCAAUUCAUUUGAUUUUUUCUUCAACAAAUUUUCAUCUCGUACCACCACACCUUUUGUACAUUUGAAUCAACAUUGUAGUGAAAAAUCAUUUAAAAAUAUUCUCACUUAAUUGAAUGUAAAAUGUGAUAUUGCUAAGAAUCUUCUUAAAAUGCUUCUUGAUAUGUAUUUGUUUGUGUAAUUUCUUACUCUUAUUAUAAUGACAUUGUACAAUAUAGUUGGAUAAUAUUUUUGUUUUUCAUUCAAUUUUAGGUUUCAUUAAACUUUAAAUCUUUAGUGCAUUUAUGUCAAUGAAAAGUACUUUCAAUUAAUCUAAAUAUAUUUGCAGCCUUUUACGAAGGAACUAUAGUUGACAGUGAUACAACAUUGGCAUAUCUUGUUCAAAAAGCUUAUAAUUGUCUUGUUCAUGCCGUUUCAUUAAACUUUACAUCUUUAGUACAUUUAUGUCAACAAAAAAUACUCCAAAUUAAUCUAAAUAUAUUUGCGGCCUUUUAAGAAGGAACUAUAGUGAUACAACAUUGACAUAUCUUGUUCAAGAAGCUUAUAAUCCUCUUGUUCAUGUCCCUCUUACGGCUAAGGAACUAUAGUUGACAAUGGUACAACAUUGGUAUAUCUUGUUCAAGAAGCUUAAAAGCAUCUUGUUUAUACUACGUUGAAAGUGAGAUCACAUAAUGGCUUAUAAGGGUUAGGGAUGUUAGACUCACUUCCAAUUGGAGAGAGAGUUUCAAUUCGUUUUGAUAGUCACCAACCUAUUGAUAAAGAUGUUAAUGGGCUCAUAGGAGGUAUCUUGAUCCAUUGGCAAAAAAACACAAUAAUUUAAUGAAUAAGAAAGUCAAAAUAGACAACCAAUGAGGUGUGGAAUUUUAUAUAUUGAUACUCAAAAGAAUUGAUGGAACAUACUUUAAUCGCAAUCUAACACUCAAUCGAUCAUAGUUUGGAUUUACUCUCUUCCACAACAUGUAAGGUGACCGUUCUUCAUUCAAUCAUGAUACUAUACUAUCAUGUUUUGCACAUCAAAUUAAUUGGUUAUGCCAUGAUACAUAAACGAAAAGUUUAAUUUAAA